UACGAAGGGGGCUAGCGUUGCUCGGAAUCACUGGGCGUAAAGCGCACGUAGGCGGACUCUUAAGUCAGGGGUGAAAUCCUGGAGCUCAACUCCAGAACUGCCUUUGAUACUGGGGAGCCUUGAGUUCGAGAGAGGUGAGUGGAACUGCGAGUGUAGAGGUGAAAUUCGUAGAUAUUCGCAAGAACACCAGUGGCGAAGGCGGCUCACUGGCUCGAUACUGACGCUGAGGUGCGAAAAGCGUGGGGGAGCAAACAGG
rnacentral:rRNA from 1 species